rnacentral:rRNA from 1 species
AGAGUUUGAUCCUGGCUCAGGAUGAACGCUAGCGGCAGGCUUAACACAUGCAAGUCGAGGGGCAGCAUGUCCAGCAAUGGAUGAUGGCGACCGGCGGAAGGGUGCGUAACGCGUGAGCAACAUGCCCUAUACAGGGAGAUACACCAGGGAAACUUGGUCUAAUAUCCCAUAGCAUUCGUUGAAGGCAUCUUUAAUGAAUUAAAGCUUCGGUGGUAUAGGAUUGGCUCGCGUGACAUUAGCCAGAUGGUGAGGUAACGGCUCACCAUAGCAAUGAUGUCUAGGGGUUUUGAGAGGAAGGCCCCCCACACUGGGACUGAGACACGGCCCAGACUCCUACGGGAGGCAGCAGUGAGGAAUAUUGGACAAUGGAUGGAAAUCUGAUCCAGCCAUGCCGCGUGCAGGAAGACGGCCUUAUGGGUUGUAAACUGCUUUUAUACGGGAGCAAUAAGGGUUACGAGUAAUCCGAUGAGAGUACUGUAUGAAUAAGGAUCGGCUAACUCCGUGCCAGCAGCCGCGGUAAUACGGAGGAUCCGAGCGUUAUCCGGAAUUAUUGGGUUUAAAGGGUGCGUAGGCGGCCAUUUAAGUCAGCGGUGAAAUUUUGCAGCUUAACUGUAACAGUGCCGUUGAUACUGUUUGGCUAGGAUUUGGUUGUAGUGUGCGGAAUGUGUGGUGUAGCGGUGAAAUGCUUAGAUAUCACACAGAACACCGAUUGCGAAGGCAGCUUACUAAACUGUCACUGACGCUGAUGCACGAAAGCGUGGGUAUCAAACAGGAUUAGAUACCCUGGUAGUCCACGCUGUAAACGAUGAUUACUGGUUGUUUGCGAUACACUGCAAGUGACUGAGCGAAAGCAUUAAGUAAUCCACCUGGGGAGUACGUCGGCAACGAUGAAACUCAAAGGAAUUGACGGGGGCCCGCACAAGCGGAGGAACAUGUGGUUUAAUUCGAUGAUACGCGAGGAACCUUACCUGGGUUUAAAUGGGGAGUGACAGGCUUGGAAACAGGCUCUUCUUCGGACACUCUUCAAGGUGCUGCAUGGUUGUCGUCAGCUCGUGCCGUGAGGUGUCGGGUUAAGUCCCAUAACGAGCGCAACCCCUAUCGAUAGUUACCAGCACGUUACGGUGGGGACUCUAUCGAGACUGCCGGUGUAAACCGUGAGGAGGGUGGGGACGACGUCAAGUCAUCAUGGCCCUUAUGUCCAGGGCUACACACGUGCUACAAUGGUAGAAACAAAGCGAUGCUACACUGCAAAGUCACGCAAAACGCAAAAAAGCUAUCGUAGUUCGGAUUGGAGUCUGAAACUCGACUCCAUGAAGUUGGAAUCGCUAGUAAUCGCGCAUCAGCACGGCGCGGUGAAUACGUUCCCGGGCCUUGUACUCACCGCC